ACGUCGCGUGAGGGAUAGCAGUGGAAAUCCUUUUGCGGCCGAGCGCUAGCGAGGCCGUAAAAGAUUGCAACGAAUAGCCCGACGGCGG
rnacentral:sRNA from 1 species